UGGCUCUCGCAUCGAUGAAGAACGCAGCGAAAUGCGAUAAGUAAUGUGAAUUGCAGAAUUCAGUGAAUCAUCGAAUCUUUGAACGCAAAUUGCGCUCUUUGGUAUUCCGAAGAGCAUGCCUGUUUGAGUGUCAUAAUAACCCUCACCUUUCUGGUUUUAUGAACCGGUUAUUGGUGGUUUGGACGUCUUGCCAGCUUCACGGCUGGCUCGUCUUAAAUGCAUUAGUGAAAACGAUAGCGUGAUAAGUCUUCGCUUGAAUCUCACUCUAAAAACCUAUUUCUCUGACCUCAAAUCAGGUAGGACUACCCGCUGA
rnacentral:misc_RNA from 1 species